UGGGGAAUUUUGGACAAUGGGCGCAAGCCUGAUCCAGCCAUGCCGCGUGCGGGAAGAAGGCCUUCGGGUUGUAAACCGCUUUUGUCAGGGAAGAAAUCUUCUGAGUUAAUACCUCGGGAGGAUGACGGUACCUGAAGAAUAAGCACCGGCUAACUACGUGCCAGCAGCCGCGGUAAUACGUAGGGUGCAAGCGUUAAUCGGAAUUACUGGGCGUAAAGCGUGCGCAGGCGGUUUUGUAAGACAGAGGUGAAAUCCCGGCUCAACUGGGAACUGCCUUGUGACUGCAAGGCUUGAGUGCGGCAGAGGGGGGAUGGAAUUCCGCGUGUAGCAGUGAAAUGCGUAGAUAUGCGGAGGAACACCGAUGGCGAAGGCAAUCCCCUGGGCCUGCACUGACGCUCAUGCACGAAAGCGUGGGGGGCAAACAGGAUUAGAUACCCUGGGUAGU
rnacentral:rRNA from 1 species